rnacentral:rRNA from 1 species
AUGCAGCACCAAUGGCAGCAAAGCUCAAGAUUUUUCUCUCUAUCCUUGUUUAUCUUGUCAGAUUACACACCAAAUGGAUUCCAUGUGACACCUCCUUCUGCCUUAAGUAGCCACCUCCCCCUCUUCUAUCAAGUCAUCUCCACACUCACUCAUCUCUUAGAGAACCCAUACAGCACAGCGGACACUUUUCUUAGCUUUCCAAUGGCGGCAGCCACCAUGUCCCUCUCCUCCUCGACCUUUGCCGGCAAGGCGGUGAAGAAUGUACCAUCUUUAGCUCUCUUUGGCGAGGCCCGAGUCACCAUGCGCAAGACCGCUGCAAAGGCGAAGCAGGUUUCCUCCGGCAGCCCAUGGUACGGUGCCGACCGUGUGCUCUACCUCGGCCCACUCUCCGGUGAGCCCCCGAGCUACCUGACCGGUGAGUUUCCUGGCGACUAUGGGUGGGACACUGCCGGGCUUUCUGCUGACCCCGAGACUUUCGCCAAGAACCGGGAGCUGGAGGUGAUCCAUUGCCGCUGGGCCAUGCUCGGGGCACUUGGUUGUGUCUUCCCUGAGUUGCUCGCCCGCAACGGCGUCAACUUCGGUGAGGCUGUUUGGUUCAAGGCGGGCUCUCAAAUAUUUAGUGAGGGUGGUCUCGACUACCUCGGCAACCCCAGCCUCAUCCACGCACAAAGCAUCCUUGCUAUUUGGGCAUGCCAGGUCGUGCUCAUGGGUGCCGUCGAGGGGUAUCGCGUUGCUGGCGGCCCACUCGGUGAGAUCGUCGACCCACUCUACCCAGGCGGCAGCUUCGACCCUCUUGGCUUGGCCGAAGACCCCGAGGCAUUCGCCGAGCUCAAGGUGAAGGAGAUCAAGAACGGUCGCCUUGCCAUGUUCUCAAUGUUUGGCUUCUUUGUCCAAGCUAUCGUCACGGGCAAAGGCCCACUUGAGAACCUCGCGGACCACAUCGCCGACCCCGUCAACAACAAUGCAUGGGCAUUUGCCACCAACUUUGUCCCCGGCAAGUAA